AAAUCCGUCGAAUUAGAAAUCGCGGGGGUCAAGUCCCUCUAUCCCCA
rnacentral:tRNA from 1 species